rnacentral:lncRNA from 1 species
CUGAGGGGGAUGAGAGGAAGAAAAGAGAAGUUCUUUCUGGAAUGGAUGGGACUGGAAUAGAGUCAUUGCCGAGAUGGGGCAGCCACCUACCUUUCAGAUGGGUGCAGUACAUGCUCUAGAAUUAAGGACAAACUGUGGGGAGAACCAAAGUUUUCUCUAGUUCUGCCCUUUAACCUGUUCCCAAGCUAAUCUGUUCUGGAAGGAGACUGUCUCAGAUGUCACACCAAGGUGCAGAUGGAAAGCUCUUGAUGUUUUUAUUUACGUUUUGCCUGCAUAUAUGUCUACAGUUAAUGUGUCUGGUACAGGUCAGAGGGAGGGCAUCAGAUCCCCUGGAAGUGGAAUUACAGGUGUGUGAGAGCCUCGGUGUGGGUACUGGUCCCAAAUCCUCCAGCAGAGCAGCCAGUGCUGUCAACAGCCAGGCCAUCUUUCCACCCCUAGAAAGCUGCAAUAACAGCCAGUGCUGUCAAUAGUCAGACCAUCUUUCCACCCCUAGAAAGCUGCAAUAACAGCAUUCUUUAUUUUAAAAAUGAUGUUAGUUACAUGUGACUGUGGCAGUCUGCUUUCAUAAUACAUGCUAUACACUAUUUACUCUGUAGUUACUGUGUGUUUCAAAACAGGAAGUAGACAUACAAGAUUCUGAUUAGCACGGCAUCAGAACACUCACACCCGAGACUCAAUGCUCUUGACUUGGGAGCUUUCCACUUCUGACUUCUCUUGUAGAUUUUCUUUAUAGUCUGUCCUUGAACUCCCCAUCUUAACUCUCAUUCACUAUUUUAGCACUCUUCUUUCCUUUGGUCUCAUCACCAGGCAUGCCUUAAUGCUUAAUGAUGCUUAACUUUUGUAUUUCUAGUUCUGACUUUUGUGCAGCCUAGAUAUCCAAACUAACAUGUUCCCCCUCUGGAUGUCUCUAAAGCAAAUAAAACCCUUUCUGCCCCCAGAUAAACCAGCCUUCUGUUCCUCACCCUUCUCCCUAUUCUAAUAUUGUAUUCUCUGUCUAAUGAACUACUUCACCAGCCAGUGAGGAAAAAAAGAAGCAUUCUGGAUUCUCCUCAUUUCUUGUUUCUCAGUUGAGUCAAGCAUUGUGUAGCUAUCCUGUUUGGAGCACCCCACAGGACCAUCCUCUCCUGCUCCUGGAGUCUACUAGCCCACAGGCUGACCCCUCUCCUAUCUUGCUCUUGCUAGAUUUAAUAAAUACUAAAUAAAUGUUGAAUGAAGACAUAGGCAUGGAAGUAGAGUGUAUUAAAAUAAAAAAAUCUCUGCCUGUUUGACUUGUGCAUGAACUCCCCUAUCGUAUAUUUCUCCAGCUGAGCUUUCAGAGCUAACCCUUGCUUCCUUGGAGGUCCAUCUGGGUAGGUCAUUCACUGUGCCGGUUUUCUGAAGUUAGUGUUACUCUCCCAUCCAUUACGUUAGCUCUGUAGCCUGACUGUGUUUCCUCUCCACCUUAUAUGAUGCUAUCUGGUUCUUUAUGUCUGAUACUGAAAUAAAUGUUGCCCAGGAAAAGGCCACGGGUGUCUCACUCUGGCCUCAUCUUCAGUAAAAACUGCUUGCGUAUAUACAACUUUGCAGAAUUAAAAUUUCACCCUUGAAAAUCUUCUCUUUGGUGUGGACAGAAAUUUCACACACAAUUAUCUACAGCGCUGAACCUUGGCUAUGGUGUUCGUUCAUAAGCAGUCCCAUGACCCCACAGAAAUACAGAUGACUUUGUGCCAGCUCAUUUUUAGGAUAUUGCUAGCUAUAUUUAAGACAUUAAAACCUUUAUUUUCUUUUAGACUAUUACUGAGUUAACAAAACAGCUUUUGGAAUCUGAAUGAUUGGAAAAUAAAAUAUGGUGUAGUUAUUUCACAGGGGGUAUCACUGUGUGUUCUACUGGGGCAUAAGUGUGCUUCUGUCCGAUCAAAUUCCAUAGCCAUUGAAGAAAGGAACUCUGUCUCAUCAGUUUGAGUGCUUGGUCAACAAGGAGUGGCACUACUUGCCGGAGAUUAGGAGGUGUGGCCUUGUUGUUGUAGGUGUGGCCUUGUUGGAGUAGGUGUGGCCUUGCUGGAGGAGGUGUGGCCUUGUUGGAGGAGGUGUGGCCUUGUUGGUGGAGGUGUGGCCUUGUUGGUGGAGGUGUGGCCUUGCUGGAGGAGGUGUGGCCUUGCUGGAGGAGGUGUGGCCUUGUAGAGGAGGUGUGGCCUUGUAGAGGAGGUGUGUUGAUAGAGGCAGACUUUGGGGUUUCAAAUGCUCAAGCCAGGCCCACUGUCUUUCUGCUGCAUGUGGAUCCAGAUGUAGAACUCUUGGCUCCUUUUCCAACACCAUGUUUGCCUGUCACCGCCUGUCACCACACUUCCCACCAUGCAGAUAAUGGACCAAAUCUCUGAAACUGUAAGCCAGUCCCAAUUAAAUGCUUCCCUUCAAGAGAGUUGCCAUGGUCAUGGUGUGUCUUCACAGCAAUAGAAUCAUGACUGAGACAGCUAUCUAGGUUGGAUCUGAAACAAUAACAAGUUAAACCCUGAUAUAAUUUCUUCAACAACAACAGAUACAAAAGAGAAAAGCCCUUGCAUUUCCAUGUUCAGUGUGUGCAAGCUGACCUCCAUUCAUCUUUAAGGCCCUAUGGUCUUUGGGCUGGUUUGUCUUAGCCUCAGUGGCUGACGUGGUAGUCGAGAAUGGGAAGUCGUAUAGGACUUUCUGCUGCCAUAGCUUGUCCAUCGCACCUGUAGCCCGUUGCAUGCUGGGAGGUGAGUGGUAUUACUGUAUUAGCUUCCUUCCCAGUUGCUGUGAUAACUGUGUCAUCAGAGCUACUUAGAGGAGGGAGAGUGGAGAGUUUGUCACUUGCAGUUCCAGCUUCUCAACUGUCAUGGCAGGGAAGUCACAGCAGCUGGUGCUUGAGGGAGUGGGUCAUACCACAUCCUUAAUCAGGACCAGAGAGCAAUGAUUGCGUGCAUGCUUGCUCCUCUCCUGGCGCAGGGGAUGGUUCCACCCACAGCAGACCUUCCCAUCUCCAUUAAUGCAACCAAGGAACCCAACCCCCCUUAGGAACGCUCUGCCAACCUGAUCUAACAUUCUUUCAUUGAGACUCUAUUCUCAAGUCAUCCUAGAUUAUCAGUUAAAACUAAGCAUCAAUCAUUGUUCGCGGAGUGAUGAUUUGGAGUUACAUGAAUUUAGCUUAGCUAACACUUCCCAGAAUUCCCUUGUUUGUAUGGUUGUGUAUGUUAUUUUACAGAUAUUUUCAUGAGGUUUGGAUAACAGAUGGCAUUAAGCAGUGGCCACUUAGGAGGGAGCAGGUGACAGGUGCAACAAUGGCUUACCCUGGUCUCUUGGCUCACAUGCUGGCUGUGCGACCAUGAACUAGCCUUCUGCUCUCCAGCCCUCAGUGGACCUCUCCUUUAUCUGUCGUUAGUCCUGGGCUGGAGUACAUGCAAUUCCACAAAAAAAAAAAAAAGAAAGAAACAAAAAACAAAAAAGAAACAAAACCCCCAGAGGGUUUCGGUAAAGCCUACUCCGGUCAUGGUUGUCUGUCUGCCACGAGACUCUUGCAAUGCUGUGGCCUCUCGGGUGGUGGUGAAGUCUGCAGGAGAGAGACACUGUCACGUAGCUGCUGCUGCUUCUUCGUCGUCAUCUUCAUCUUCUUUGUCUUCGUCUUCGUCAUCUUCGUCGUCUUCGUCUUCUUCGUCUUCUCCUCUUUCUUCUCUUCCUUCUCCUUUUUCCUUUUCCUUCUUCCUCCUCCUUCCCUCUUCCUUCUUUUUCUUUUUGAAAAUAGAUGCUUUUAUUAUUAUUAGAAAGAAGCUUCUUUCACAUAUCAAUCCCAG